rnacentral:rRNA from 1 species
AACGAACGCUGGCGGCAUGCCUAACACAUGCAAGUCGAACGAGACCUUCGGGUCUAGUGGCGCACGGGUGCGUAACGCGUGGGAACCUGCCCUUAGGUUCGGAAUAACUCCCCGAAAGGGGUGCUAAUACCGGAUAAUGUCUUCGGACCAAAGAUUUAUCGCCUUUGGAUGGGCCCGCGUUGGAUUAGCUAGUUGGUAGGGUAAAAGCCUACCAAGGCGACGAUCCAUAGCUGGUCUGAGAGGAUGAUCAGCCACACUGGGACUGAGACACGGCCCAGACUCCUACGGAAGGCAGCAGUGGGGAAUAUUGGGCAAUGGGCGAAAGCCUGAUCCAGCAAUGCCGCGUGAGUGAUGAAGGCCUUAGGGUUGUAAAGCUCUUUUACCCGGGAUGAUAAUGACAGUACCGGGAGAAUAAGCUCCGGCUAACUCCGUG